AGAAUGAACGUUGGCGGCGUGGAUUAGGCAUGCAAGUCGUACGGGCCGCAAGGCCAGUGGCGCAAGGGUGAGUAAGGCGACGGUAACCAACCCCAGGACUGGGUAUAGCCGCGGGAAACUGCGGGUAAUCCCCAGCGACGUCGCGGCGAGGCAUCUCGCCGCGACCAAAGCUCCGGCGUCGUGGGACGGGCUGUCGUGGUAUUAGCUUGUUGGCGGGGUAACGGCCCACCAAGGCGGCGAUGCCUACCGGGCGUGCGAGCGUGGCCCGGCACACUGGGACUGAGACACUGCCCAGACUCCUACGGGAGGCUGCAGUCGAGAAUCUUCGGCAAUGGGCGCAAGCCUGACCGAGCGACGCCGCGUGGAGGACGAAGGCCUUGGGUUGUAAACUCUGUCGAGGGGAAGAAGGGCGAGAGCCCUUGACUGAUCCCUGGAGGAAGCACGGGCUAAGUCGUGCCAGCAGCCGC
rnacentral:rRNA from 1 species